CCUACGGGUGGCAGCAGUGGGGAAUAUUGCACAAUGGGGGAAACCCUGAUGCAGCGACGCCGCGUGAGUGAAGAAGGAAUUCGGGAGGUAAAGCUCUAUCAGCAGGGAAGAAAAUGACGGUACCUGAGUAAGAAGCCCCGGCUAACUACGUGCCAGCAGCCUCGGUAAUACGGAGGGGGCAAGCGUGAUCCGGAUUUACUGGGUGUAAAGGGAGCGGAGCAGGCAGUGCAAGUCUGGAGUGAAAGGCGGGGGCUCAACCCCCGGACUGCUCUGGAAACUGUACGGCUGGCGUGCAGGAGAGGUAAGUGGCCUUCCUGGUGUAGCGGUCAAAUGCGUCGAUAUUCGGCG
rnacentral:rRNA from 1 species